GACGUAGGGCGCGAGCGUUGUCCGGAUUGAUUGGGCGUAAAGAGCUCGUAGGCGGCUCGUUGCGUCGGCUGUGAAAACCCGCAGCUCAACUGUGGGCCUGCAGCUGAUACGGGCGGGCUGGAGUUCGGUAGGGGAGACUGGAAUUCCUGGUGUAGCGGUGAAAUGCGCAGAUAUCAGGAGGAACACCAAUGGCGAAAGCAGCUCUCUGGGACGGUACUGACGCUGAGACGCGAAAGCGUGGGGAGCGAACAGG
rnacentral:rRNA from 1 species